rfam:Brassica napus, WGS project CCCW01000000 data, contig: 10729
CAGUGCGAGGGAUGAUGUAUUAUUAUAGUGCCUUGAAGAAGCUUGCCUUUCUUGAUUCGGCUUCUGAAAUGGACAUCAGUAUGG